GUGUCAGCAGCCGCGGUAAUACAGAGGUCCCAAGCGUUGUUCGGAUUUAUUGGGCGUAAAGGGUGCGUAGGCGGCAGUGUAAGUUGGACGUGAAAUCCUGGGGCUCAACCUCAGAAUUGCGUUCAAUACUGCAUUGCUAGGGCGCUGUAGAGGAGAUUGGAAUUUACGGUGUAGCAGUGAAAUGCGUAGAUAUCGUAAGGAAGACCAGUGGCGAAAGCGAAUCUCUGGGCAGCAGCCGACGCUGAGGCACGAAGGCCAGGGGAGCAAACGGGAUUAGAAACCCCAGUAGUCC
rnacentral:rRNA from 1 species